CAGCAUUUGAAUAAGGAGACGUAUACUUGGAAUACAGAGGAUGAAUGGAGAGAAAAAGAGAGGCAGAGGAGGUCAAAGAAAGAGAGAGAGAGAGAGAGAGAGAGGAAGAGGGUGAGAUAGUCGGUUAAAAAUGGCGGAAAAAGGGGAGAUGGUUUGUUAAAGAAGAAUGGUAGAAAGUGUAAGCAGAGUGAGCUGAAGACAGGAGGAGAAAUGGAAGUGAAUGAGGGUGAAGUAUCAGUGGUGAAGUUCUCAGAGCCCGAGGCUUGCACCGAGGGUCAGGAUAAAGAUGUUUCUGUGACAGUAGGAGUGAAGUUUUUGGAAAAAGUGAACUCUUUCCUUUUGGCUGAUCCAUUUGUGGUUUCAGGGUGGGUGAAAACACAGUUGGGUGUUGUGGAAUAGGUGAGGGUUACCGUAAGUGGUCUUGUGAUAACUGUUUGUGUUUCUGCUGGUCAGAGGGAGCAGGCGCUCCGUGUUAAACAAAUGGGGGCAAGAGAUGGGAAUUGUUUUGCUCUCAAGAAAAGGGUGCCAUUGAACGGAGUGAUAACUGGGGUAACUGUAAAUGUGGAAAGCUGACCAACUGAAGGGGAAGAGUCCCGGUGUUUGUGAUACCUGUCGUUUUUGUGGGACGCAAACAGGGUGACGUGAGUGGAGAAACAGUUCUUUUGAGUUUUGAUGUUGAGUCUUUGCCCGACAAAGUGAUGUUAGGAUAUAUAAGUUAUCCUGUAUGAGCUUUUGUGCCGAAUACGUUGUUGUUACAUGUGUCAAGCUUAUGGACAGGUGGAAGCAGUGAGUAGGAGGGAGGUUUCUACGUGUAAGAUGUGUGCAGAAGGUCAUGAGACAAAGGAAUGUGUAGCAUUGGGUAUCCCUACAAUUAACACAUACCACUAUUUCCCCAUGGGGCUGGGAAUCAGAAAUGUCCCGUGCGAGAGAGGCAGGUUGAGGUUUCCAGGGUUAGAGUCGUGCAGAAAUUGUCAUACGCUGAGGCAGUGAAGAAAGUAGAGGAAGAUGGGUGAAGGUACAGAUCUACUAGUCACUCCACUCCUCUCAGGAUCCCUCCCUCUGUUCUGGUACAGAUCUACUAGUCACUCCACUCCUCUCAGGAUCCCUCCCUCUGUUCUGGUACAGAUCUACUAGUCACUCCACUCCUCUCAGGAUCCCUCCCUCUGUUCUGAUCUACUACUCACUCCACUCCUCUCAGGAUCCCUCCCCCUUCACCCAUCUUCCUCUACUAAAUCGCAGACAAUAGAGGUUGUGCUGGCAGCUGCAGAGAGGUAUUUGGCUGUACGAGAUUUGAUGUCAGAGGAGUUACAGGGUGUGUUAAGUGUUGGUGUCCCAUCCUUUCAGGCUGUUGGCCUGAAGUAGGACUACAUAGAUUUAAAUAGCGGAGUAUGGUAUUUAUUUAUUUAAUGUUUAUUUUUCUGUUUUAUUUAUUUAUUUAUUGUUUUUUUU
ensembl:lncRNA